rnacentral:rRNA from 1 species
CCUACGGAGGCAGCAGUGGGGAAUAUUGGACAAUGGGGGCAACCCUGAUCCAGCCAUGCCGCGUGUGUGAAGAAGGCCCUCGGGUUGUAAAGCACUUUCAGUGAGGAAGAACGCCUGGUGGUUAAUACCCAUCAGGAAAGACAUCACUCACAGAAGAAGCACCGGCUAACUCCGUGCCAGCAGCCGCGGUAAUACGGAGGGUGCGAGCGUUAAUCGGAAUUACUGGGCGUAAAGCGCGCGUAGGUGGCUUGAUAAGCCGGUUGUGAAAGCCCCGGGCUCAACCUGGGAACGGCAUCCGGAACUGUCAAGCUAGAGUGCAGGAGAGGAAGGUAGAAUUCCCGGUGUAGCGGUGAAAUGCGUAGAGAUCGGGAGGAAUACCAGUGGCGAAGGCGGCCUUCUGGACUGACACUGACACUGAGGUGCGAAAGCGUGGGUAGCAAACAGGAUUAGAUACCCUUGUAGUC